rnacentral:lncRNA from 1 species
GGAUAUCGACAGCGAGAUGUGCAACAUUGUUACAGAGGAGAUAGCCUAUGAACGUAAUGUUGGGUAAAACUCGUCAUUUUUAUUUCAAUGUACUUUUUCUGGAUCUGGGCAAUUGUGAUGGUGUGAUGUGGCAAUGCUUAUUUCAGUUGUUUAUCAGAAAUUUGAGUAUUUGGACGGCUUAUGAUUUUGUAGUACAUCUGUCUUUUUCAAGAUGCGGAGUUGAAUAUAUAUGAUUAUGGGGUGCAUUUUUAGCUUGGUUAUGAUGUGAGUUUUGUGUCACUUUAAUCACGAUCAUUGAGUUGGAUAAAUCUAAUUUCAUCAUUGAUUUGUGUUGUAUUUUUUUCUCAUGCUGUUUCAUUUGGCUUCCUGCUGAACAGUAAGGUUUAAUAUGGUGACAAGACUCUUUCCUCGCGCCAAGGAUGAGGAAUUCUGCUUGGUUUUUGGCUCUCUUUUAUUUUGUUAAUUUACCACUUGCUUUGUUAUGAUUCUUUUACAAAUAGUGGGAAAGCAUUUGGUGAUUUCUACUCCGAUUAUGAAGGAAUUCAUGUUUCUUUCUGUUAGGAAUGUAAUGUGGAAUAAAACUGGUCAUUUUUAUGUAAAUGUACGUUUUAUGGAUUGGAAUGGUUGUUUCUUAAUGGUGUCAUGUGUUUAUGUUGAUUUUUGUGUCUUGUUUAUCAGAUUGGGAGAGCUAUAAAAUUUGUGAUUCUGUAGUAUAUGUGUUUUUCUAGAUGAGGAGCUGAAUAUAUAUGAUUCUGGUGUACAUCUCUUAGCUUGGUUAUUGUGUGAGUUUUAUGAUACUUCAUUCACGAUCGUUGCCUCUGGAAUCAUGGAUGAAUCUAAUUUCGUCAUUGAAUUGUUUUGUAUUUUUUUUUUUUAGGCUUUGAUCUGGCUUUCUGUGUUGAAACAAUUAAGUCUCUAUAGUGUCAAGCCUCGAGUAUAAGUUAUUGUCCAUUGUUUAUGUAUUGAAUUCUUAUUGUUUUUCCUUCAUGAUUUACAGGAAAGAUAAAUAUAUCAAUGUGCGACUAUGGUGGAGAUUAUAAUCAGUUGGGUGUUUACAUACCCUUAAUACUAUGCUUUCUUACAGAUGCUUGUCCUAGAUUUGUUAUUUGUUUGUAUCAUUCCAGAGAAUCUGUGUAUGUUUGGGGAUGUUUCAAUUUUGUGCAGUGUUCCAAGGACUCGUCUGUAUAAUGGGGCAGCCUAAAUUGUGUCAUUUCAUAUUGAUCACAAGAUCUUGCAAAUCAGAAGGAAAAUUGUUGCAAUGAAACAUUGGGUGUGUUGAAUACUUAUACUUCCCACUGUUAAAAGACUUAAAUAUGGUCAUUUUCUACUCGGCAUCUACUUUUCGCAUUUUCUUUGAGUUAUCUGUGGGGUGUUAGAUUUCUUAUGAAUAUGUGCUGUGUUGUGGAGCCCGUGGCAGUCUGAGGUUAACAUACUAUCCGUUCAAUUCACAGCCUUGGGAUCUGUCAUGUUUCUACUUAUAUGUGUUGUGUCCUGCUAGUCUUGGUGAUUUUAUGUUUCUGCAUCAGGAACAUGAGAACUGAAGCAUUCAAGAUUCUAAAGUAUAUCUUUUCUCUGAAUUAGGAAUUCUGGACUAAAUUUACUUUCGCUGCUUUGGCGCUUUACUUCAUCCAUCUGGUAUAGGUAGGUGGGUAGCCC